AAAAGACCAGUCUCCACUUUCCUCUGAGGAGUCUGAGUCUGAACAGAGACAUGACCCGCCCAGGGGACGGCGCAGAAGACGACACUCAAAGAACUCCCGCCUUUCAUGGAAAAGUCUGUCCUCUUCUAAACUGCUACGCUGGUCCAGAGUUUGGAGUCUUUGGUGACCCUAGGCGACGGCCUAGUGGACGCUCAGUCCCAGGCGACGGCCUAGUGGACGCU